UCCCCCUCUGUGUCCCACAUUGUCCCUGUGUGUCCCCAUAGUGUCCUCCCUGUAUCCCCCACAGUGUCCCCACUGUGUCCCUGCCGUGUCCCCAUAGUGUCACCACUGCUUGCCCUACAGCAUCCACACCGUGUCUGCACAAUGUUCCCGUUGUGUCCCCACAGUAUCCUUACGUUGUCUGUGAUGUCUCCCCACAGUGUCCCCACAGUGUCCCCACUCUCUCCACGAACCAGCGGGUUUGUCUCCUCAGUGCGUUGGUCAAUGUGGGCUUAAAGAGUUCCAGCCAUGAAGAUGUCAGGAGGGUUGACACAAACCAACACUUCGGAAACAAACUUGUGCCUGCGCAAUUUUGUAUUUUUUUUCCAGAGAAUCACAGAAUAUUUAGGGUUGGAAGGGACCUCUGGGAGCCAUCCAGUGCAGCCAGGGUCACCUGGAGCAGCAAAUACAACUGCUGUUCGUGACAAACACAUGAUUUACAAAAUGAAGAAUAAAGAAUUGUGUCAACUAGAGAGAGAGAGAAGGAGGAUGAAACAAGCACAGGAAUACGCAGGAGGGAAACAGAAAACAGAAGCAGCAAGAACAUUGUGUUCAUCAGCCACAGACACAAAUUAGCUUGGGAAAGAGAUCUGGAAAUUAUAUUAACUACUGCUAUGAAAGCAUCAGGACCUCCACAACAAGGAGCUGCAGGUCUUGGCACACCGUGGAGUGAUGAAUUUCCUGAGGAGUCUCCACUCUGUGGAUGUUCCUGCAUGAGGUAGGAAGGAGCUGGAGGUAUGGAUGCAUCCAACCAUACCCCGUUUCCAUCUGCCAUGAGAUUGAUAAUCUAUAAUUUAUUAUAACCAUCCCCACCUCAGUUCCUGCUCUUCCUUUCUAUAGAAUUUCACAGCUUUUUUUUUUUUUUCCUAACUAUUUUCAGAAAUGAUUUUAUUUACAUUGUCUAUUUUGUAUUUAGAUCUUAAAUUAUAAUUACAGUAAAUUCUUCUUCUCCUCAUUCAGGGAAAAAUGGCCCUGUUAAUGUAAAGAUCCAUAUGGUGUCAGUUUAAAAGAUUCAGUGCAAAUUUGAUAUUGGCACAGGAGUCAUGCAAUAUAAAAAAAGUCUUUGGGAAAGGUCAAGUUGGUGUCAGCAGUGGCAGAGCAGAGGCUGUGGUGACACUGAGCCCUGUGGGUGGUGGUGGCAUCACUACAUCCAGGGGGAGUUUGCUAUUCCAAAGCCUCCCAAAAGCCAAUAUUUAAAAUUAAUUUAUAAAUAGACUUCAGAAAACAAGUUUGAUUUCAUAUAUAUAUCCAGCAAUCCCUUUAGAUCUGUUGCUGACAACAUAAAUUCAGGUUUUAACUCAGAAUUAACAGAAUUUUUCAUUCUCUAGUUUUGCUUUGACAAGUUUGCAAUAUAAAUCUUAUCUAUAUAAAUCUUAUGUGCAAACUUUCCUGAAUGUAUUUUAAAAGUAUCUUAUUUAAGCAAGUGCUUAAUUCAAGCAUAACAUGUGAUUUGCCAAACAAACUUAUGACUAAGGCAACACAGAGUGAGUUCAGUAGGACCAAAAUUUGCUCCAGUGUGAUUCAUCAAUGAGUAAGAGUGAUGCUAUCUGGAGUUUUAAUCUAAGCACAGAUUUGAAUAAUGACCUGAAUUUUUUGGAAGAGCAGCUAGCUAAGCAAGAAAAGGGGAAAAAAAAAAAUCUGUAAAGAAUUCUGGGCUUGAUAUCACCACCUAUUUUCAGCUGUAUGAGUCAGUGAGCCAUCACAUGGAUUUGCACAGAAAUAUCAAAGCAAAUCCCACUUCAAACCCACACCACUUCCCAAUAUAUCCCCUCACUCAUCGAUCCCAGCGAAGCAGGGAACGUCUGUUUGUCUGCAAUAAAAGAGAGCAGGGCUCCAGGAACAAUGAAAUUUCUUAAAACAAAGCCCCUAAUUUUCUGUGAAACCCCUGCCCAGGCUGAUUUACCAAGAAGAAAUAGGCAGUCCAAAAGUGCCACUUGCUGAGCUCAAUCAGCCGAGCCUUUCCGACUCGGGAGAGAGACCCAGGGAGGGAAAUUGUUUUGCAAAAUUGCAAAAAAAAAAAAAAAAAAAAAAAUAUUGUCUAAACUGGCAGAGAUGGCAAUGCGUGCAAAUAUCCUUUACUAACAAUGAUUGAGAGAGCUGCAGCUGCCAUGCAAGACGUGGAAUCUGACACAUUUCUUCAAUAUUAGGAGCUUAUUGGGAUAUAAAUGUGAGCUGCCUCUGGAUCCAGGAGAGGAACAUCAUUUGCAGUGGUUCAUGUUAUGAGACAUGAAGGCAAUUACUUGCUCGAAGAAAACAUAACUCAGUCUCUUACAGAAGAGUUCUGCUAAGUCCCAUCCCAGCAGAAGAUGAAGCUUUGACAGACAUUCAUUUUUUUCCAGAAUGUUCUGCAAUGUUUUGCAAGUUGCUGCCAGAUGUGAGGUCCUCUGGAAAUUAAAAGAGGGCUUUAGGCAAUAUUUUAAUGUGAUAUUCAGGACUUCAAUAUUUGCACGCCAGAGGAUGAAAAAAACCAGAUAGUUCUGUAUUUUAUUUAUUUAAUUGACCAGAAAACCCUGUGUGGAUUUGUAAAUCCUACCACCUUAGGACAUCCUAGUCUUCUCCAAUAGUUUAUAAGCCCCUAUAAAUGAAGAUUGUCAGGAUCUCCCACUAUAAAGAGGAUUUAGCUGGGAAUUAACAAGCAAACAAAGAGGAGAAAUGGAAAAUGACAGUGGGUCACCUCAUUAGUUGGCAAGGUGGGGAUCAGUGACAGGUUGGACUCAGUCUUGGGGAUUUCCAGCCUCAGUGAUCCUGGGGUUCUGUGAUUCUUCCUUGCACGAGCUGAGUGUGGCCUUUUGCUGGGAGUUCUUCGGUGCCAGAUGGACCAGAAUGGGUUUUUGUGAGAUGUUCAAACACAAUGAGAAACUCCUGCUUUAGGGGAAGCUGCUCAGGAAAGCUCCUAUUGGGAAAAUGCUGGAUGGCAGAGUGGGACUUUAAAUCCCAUCCCAUUGCCAGCCCUGCCCUGGGGACACCUUCCACGACCUCAGGUGGCUCCAAGCCCCGUCCAACCUGGCCUGGAACACUUCCAGGGAUCCAGGGCAGCCACAGCUUCCCUAAGUCAUGGAUCAGGGAGGUGUGGAAAAGAUGCUUUCAGAACAAAAAGAGACUCAAAUAUGCUCUGAUGGAGCUUAAAAACUUUCAAGGAUUAUUCAGUGUUCUGCUGAGGCUUCCCCACAGGCAGAGCCCUUGCAGCACUAUUUUGGGGCUGGAAUUUUUGGAUUUAGGCGAAACAUUUUAGCCUCAGUGAUGCAGAAAACAAGCAAGGUCUCCUCCUGGCACCGGGAGCCAGAGCUGUGGAGCAAUUGGGAAAAGCAGAGCAGUGAGACUGAAGGGAGAAAUAAAUUUCCAAAUGUCUUUGGAAGGCUUUGUGGAAUGGCAAUCCAAUUUUCACGGAGCAUUUAAGCCCUGACCCAGACGUGUGAGCAGGGAACUGUGGCAAGAGUCCUCGCCAGGGUGGGUGGGAGCAGGGUAAAUUUAGCUGGGUUUGUUUGGAGAUCAGACUGUGCCUCUCACACUCUGCUGAGGAGAUGCUCUAGAAAAGCUUCCAAACACCCCCGUGUUUCUGAACUCUCCCAGAAGUUCAAUAGGUGCAAUUGUCUGCAGGGCUGAAGGAAGAGUUCUCUCAGAUUUCAA